rnacentral:rRNA from 1 species
UACGGAGGGUGCGAGCGUUAAUCGGAAUUACUGGGCGUAAAGCGUGCGCAGGCGGUUUGUUAAGCGAGAUGUGAAAGCCCCGGGCUCAACCUGGGAACCGCAUUUCGAACUGGCAAACUAGAGUCUUGUAGAGGGGGGUAGAAUUCCAGGUGUAGCGGUGAAAUGCGUAGAGAUCGGGAGGAACACCAGUGGCGAAGGCGGCUUCCUGGCCUGUUACUGACGCUGAGAUGCGAAAGCGUGGGGAGCGAACGGG